AAAUUGAAGAGUUUGAUCAUGGCUCAGAUUGAACGCUGGCGGCAGGCCUAACACAUGCAAGUCGAACGGUAACAGGAAGCAGCUUGCUGCUUCGCUGACGAGUGGCGGACGGGUGAGUAAUGUCUGGGAAACUGCCUGAUGGAGGGGGAUAACUACUGGAAACGGUGGCUAAUACCGCAUAACGUCGCAAGACCAAAGAGGGGGACCUUCGGGCCUCUUGCCAUCAGAUGUGCCCAGAUGGGAUUAGCUWGUUGGUGAGGUAACGGCUCACCAAGGCGACGAUCCCUAGCUGGUCUGAGAGGAUGACCAGCCACACUGGAACUGAGACACGGUCCAGACUCCUACGGGAGGCAGCAGUGGGGAAUAUUGCACAAUGGGCGCAAGCCUGAUGCAGCCAUGCCGCGUGUAUGAAGAAGGCCUUCGGGUUGUAAAGUACUUUCAGCGGGGAGGAAGGUGUUGCGGUUAAUAACCGCAGCAAUUGACGUUACCCGCAGAAGAAGCACCGGCUAACUCCGUGCCAGCAGCCGCGGUAAUACGGAGGGUGCAAGCGUUAAUCGGAAUUACUGGGCGUAAAGCGCACGCAGGCGGUCUGUCAAGUCGGAUGUGAAAUCCCCGGGCUCAACCUGGGAACUGCAUUCGAAACUGGCAGGCUUGAGUCUUGUAGAGGGGGGUAGAAUUCCAGGUGUAGCGGUGA
rnacentral:rRNA from 1 species